UAGGGAAUCUUCCACAAUGGACGCACGUCUGAUGGAGCAACGCCGCGUGAGUGAAGAAGGUCUUCGGAUCGUAAAACUCUGUUGUUAGAGAAGAACACGAGUGAGAGUAACUGUUCAUUCGAUGACGGUAUCUAACCAGCAAGUCACGGCUAACUACGUGCCAG
rnacentral:rRNA from 1 species